rnacentral:rRNA from 1 species
CAACACGGGGAAACUUACCAGGUCCAGACAUAGCUAGGAUUGACAGAUUGAGAGCUCUUUCUU